GGUUAGCAGUUAUAGGCACCCAUGUUAUUGUCGCUUGUUGUGUCAAAUGUAUUUUUAUGGAAAUUUUAAAUUCACACACACACACACACACACACAAAUCCACCCACGACCACGUGUGUGUACCGAUUAUGCUAUUUAUUAAAUAAAUAAAUUAUUCCCUUCUCCAAAGAGAGCUUCUGGAAACCCAUAAAACACAGGAGAGCAGUGAGUGCAUUGUUUAUGAUUUCUCCAAGGGCCCCUGAUUUACGCUCACCACAUUAAGCAGCACAAUGGGUUUAAUAUAAUUUACACACUUAGAAAUUCAUAAAACAAAUGUCUCAUUUUGGUGGUAAAGCACUGGUUGCUAGUUGGCUAUAAAUAUUUUUGCUUUGAUCGUUGCAGUUUAAGGAUAUUAUGCACAUUACAUAUCCUGGUCACUGGCACGUAGUUUCCCCAUUUCUAACAUGAAUCCUAUUAUAAAAUGAUUAAAAAGGAAAUACAUUUAAAAAAUAAAUAAAUAAAUGGAGUUUGGGAUUUGUUGAAUCGGUAUAGGAAUGGGUUAAUUUUUAUUUACUUAUAGUUUCCAAAUAACCCAAAGCUGUCGAUGCCUCAGACAGAAGAGGGGGGCGUCUUAAAGCUCUCUCUCUCUUAUUCUCUCUCUCUCGCUCGCUCCCUCUCUCUCGCUCCCUCUAAAACAAAGACGCUUUGUCAUAAACAGGGUUAUUUUACCAAAAGGAGUCAAGAGGGCAACAUAUGUGGUCUUAACAGGUCAGAGGUCAAACAUCCAUGAAACACAAGGUCACGUAAGCCACACAAGUAACCUUGCAAUGUGUCAACAUAUUGAUACUGUCAGAUAACGGAGAGGAGAAAUAUGCCUUUGGCAUCCAUUAUAACACACAGGCAGAGCGCCCCUUGCGCGAUCGGGAUUGUUGGGUUUAAUGUUAUAAACCUGUCAGAUGUUAUUUUUUCUUUUUCUUGUAUUUUUGUCAGCUGUAACUUUAGAUUGUGUGUAAUAUUUUACGUGAUUUAUUUGUUACGCGUGUGAGCAUAUCUCAGUGAGUAUUGGUACUUCUAAAACCUGUUGAAAUACUAGUCUGUGGGGGAUUUUGAAUAGGUUGGAGGCUUUUUCUUUUCCAGGCAGAAGGGAAAACCCACAGCCUCUUGAUGAUUGAUUUUUUUUUUCUCAAAAUUUUCUUUCUCCUUUCCCGUAUCUGGGGAAGGUUUUUGUGUUUUUUUUUUUCUUCAGAGAAAUAAAGAACUUCUUAUAGGGGUCGGCAGACGUGACUUUGAACUUGGAUCAGCUCCUGCGUUUCCUGUGGUGCGAGUUGAAAUAGACUUGGAAGAAUGGCAUACAACGCUCAGCCUGUCCCACUCAGAGCUAGGAGACACAAUUAAAAAAAAAAGUUUUUAAAACGUUUCCCUGGUCUUCACCAUUAUUUGUCGUCUAGAGUGCACCGGAGAAGCUGAGACAGGCAGAAAGCUGUGUUGUGUGACGGAACCGCAGAGCUUGUGGGAUUUUUUGGGGGGUGAAAAUUUUGUCUUUGAUCCCUUCUCCUCAAACUUCUGCCCCCUGGGUCACCAGCUGACAGACAACGAGAGGAGGGUGCCGCCUCUUUUCUUAUCCACUCUUCUCUUGCUUUUUUUGCUGUUUGGGAUACGUAGUGUUUUGCAGCCGGGGAACCAUUUGGGAACCUCAGAGUUUGAGCUCACCUUCAAGACAACGUGAAUCUCAAAGAUCAACAUCAGAAGUUAAAGUUAAUAGGAAGCUGUGAUGAAGACAUUAUUUCCCAGAUCUCACCUUUUGUGCUUCUUAUCUCAUCUGCUUUUUAUCAGCGAAAGAGCUUUAUGCAGGCCACGAGUGACCCACGAGCACUUUAAAUGAAUACAGUGUGCUAAUAGCUGAGCGAAGACACCCUGGGAGCAGGCAUGAAAUAUGUGCAAGGACCCGUGACCACUGAGAUAAUAGCCCCUGCCCAGACCACGGAUUCUCUGUCCACUCUCUCCUCCGCUGCGCUCCACCCAAGGUUUGGAGUGGCUCAUAUCCAGGACAGAUGGGCCGAAAGAAGAGAAGAUGGGGCCAGCUCUAAUUAAAGCCAAAGGAAGAGUGUCAUCUGCUGUGAACUCGCAACUAGGGGCCACAGCAAAUCAAUGGACGGCCAACACUGUCAUCACCAUCAACAGCUCCCGAUCAGAGCAAUUGGAGGGGAACAAAAAGGAAUGAAAAAGACUCUACCAGGAAGCUUCUACCACCUGUGCAGAGCAGGAGAGAGAAGGGAAGAGAGAGAGGGCGAGAGAAACGCAGGGAGGGAGAAACGAGAGACAGACAGAGAGAACAAGAUCGUGACGCCGUGGUUUCAGCUAUUGUAAAAACGCCAGAGACUUGUCGUUUCUUUGUUUAGGCCAAGCAAUUUUGUCAUCAUCACCAAGAGCAUCUAUUUUGAUAAACAAAGGUGCAAUUUUAUGAAGAUUGGCUGCAAACAGAAUGAUCUUAUGACCUGUUUAAAAAAAAUAUAGAUUUUUUUUUUUUUUUUUUCGCCAGUGGAUCAAACUGCUGCAUAU